UGGUACCCAGAAAAGAGACCUGACUCCGAGUGAUGUUGUUUUCUGCAUCUGAGACAAUCCAUAGCAUGGGGCUGACAACCAACAGCUAAGGGUCAUCUUAGUAGCACCCCCUCAGAUGGAAAAAUGAGCCUUUAAUUUCUGAAGGGUGAUCUGUGCAGUACGUCACAGGAUGCUCCAUGGAAAGAGACAUGGGGGAUUGUUUGUCCUGUUCCCCAGGAGAGUACAUUUAAAAUGAGGAGGAAUUUGGAUCACUGUAAAAGAAAAAAAAAUAAAAAGAAGGAUGAAACAGUCUCAUUGUGUCACCGAGGCUGGAGUGCAGUGGCA